rnacentral:sRNA from 12 species
CGUUGCAAAGCUUGCUACUUUGCAAUGGGUGAGCCCGGCAUAGCAUAAACCGGGAGGGCGGGAACG